CCACUGCUGAGGAGUCCCAUAAUAAGGCGAAACGACCGUCAAGCAG
rnacentral:hammerhead_ribozyme from 1 species